rnacentral:rRNA from 1 species
UGGGGAAUUUUGCACAAUGGGGGAAACCCUGAUGCAGCGACGCCGCGUGAUUUAGAAGGCCUUCGGGUUGUAAAAAUCUUUUCUAUGGGAAGAAAAUGACAGUACCAUAGGAAUAAGGACCGGCUAAUUACGUGCCAGCAGCCGCGGUAAUACGUAAGGUCCGAGCGUUGUCCGGAAUCAUUCGGCGUAAAGGGUACGUAGGCGGGUAAGCAAGUUAGAAGUGAAAUCCUAUAGCUCAACUAUAGUAAGCUUUUAAAACUGCUCAUCUUGAGGUAUGGAAGGGAAAGUGGAAUUCCUAUUGUAGCGGUGAAUUGCGCAGAUAUUAGGAGGAAUACCGGUGGCGAAGGCGACUUGCUGGCCAUAACCUGACGCUGAGGUACGAAAGCGUGGGUAGCAAACAGG